CCCAACCAAGUUCCACCAACUAGACCAGGAUUCUCUAGUUAUUUCACGUUCGGCUUGGGUGAGUAGCGGAACGGGGAAGCACGGGGGCCAUCGGACAGGCUCCUCAUCGGUUGCUGCCCGUUCCGAGCAAAUGAACCCUGCACCUUAAGGGCAUGGCUCCUACCAUUCAUGCUGCUUGAGUGCGCCAUUCUCUCAGCUUGCAUUGUCUGAUAGAAGUACGAGGAGCUAGCCAUGUCCUUGAGGUUGAGCAGUGGCUUGAGAACCUCUACCACUUGGCUCAUCAGUGGCCGGGCUUUCGGGUCCCGGUUGAGACAAGCACGUGCUAACUGUGCUGCCUUCUGGGCACCUUUGACCGAGAAGUUACCCUCCAAACGAGGGUCAAUUAGCUUGUAGAAGCGCUGCCUUUCUCCUAGGAGGGGGCGUGCCCACUCAACAAGGUUGUGCUCACCAUUUGGGCGGUUCUUGUCCAUUGACCUGCGCCCUGACAUCAUCUCAAGUAGCACCACACCAAAACUAUAGACAUCACUCUUUGAUCACUUACCUGUCAUAACAUACUCCGGAGCUGCAUAACCAUAUGUUCCCAUUACUCGAGUAGACACGUGAGUUUUGUCACCUACAGGGCCAUCUUUGGCAAGCCCAAAAUCUGAGAGUUUUGCAUUGUAAUCCUGCAAGACAGUAUAUUAGAUGUUUUAAAAUCACGGUAAAUAACUGGUCUUUCUGCUUCUUCAUGAAGGAAAGCAAGACCCUUUGCUGCUCCAAGAGCAACCUUCAUUCUGAUGGACCAAGGGAGAGGAAGAGACCCUAUAGAUGGUUAUCUAAACUUCCACGAGGCAUGAAUUCAUAAACCAGCAAUCUUUGGUCAUCUUCAACACAAUAUCCAAUCAGCCUCACCAAAUUGGGAUGGUGAAGGUUACCUAGGAAAUCAACCUCUGCCACCCAUUCUUUGUGCCCUUGAAGCCCAUCAUGAUUGAGUGUUUUGACAGCAACUGUAAGGCCUGUACCAGGUUUCAUAGGUGCAGUUCCAUUCUCUUCAAUCCACCCUUUAAAAACACAUCCAAAACCCCCCUCUCCAAGGAUACUCUCAGGCCUGAAGUUCCGGGUGGCACAUUUUAGAUCAUUGAAUGCAAACUUGCGCAACUGUGAGGCAACUUUUAUUUCCUCUCCAGCUUUAGAUGCUGAUGAACUGCUCUCAGCAUUACUAGUAGUUGUUGAGCCUGAGACUACUGAUACAACUGGAUGGUUCCUGCUACCAUUUUCGGUUGACUUUUCUGCUGGACGUUACCGCCGUGCGUGCUGGCGCUGCUGGUGGAGGUGUCCACCUUGGACCGCGGCGGCGGUGGGCAGCUCCCCAUCGGCCACAGCCGGAUGCAGCACCCGGUGGCCACCGUGGCGUCCUCCCCGCCACCGCCGCCGCCGCUGCCCUUCCGUGGCAGCCGCCGCCUGCUGCUCCCGCUGCCGCUGCCGCUACGGCUCCCGCUGCGGCUCCGGCUGCGGCGGCACCACCCC
rnacentral:sRNA from 1 species